UGCAAUAGCAUAGUUUUCUCAAGGGUGGACGGCACAUCUCCUAAUAGAAAGGGGGUGAUGCUUUUGACAGUUUUUCAGGCAUUGAUGUUUAGCUUAUCGUUUGCUAGUCUCAUUGUCACGAUUCUGUCCUUCCACAAAAAAAAAUAAUCCACCCUUGAGCCGGCAAGCAGAAGCGGUGGAUUAUGGUCCGUAACGCCGAUCCCCAAAAAGGAAAGCAGCUAUUGCAUGACCGAGCCAUAUUUGUCGUCAUGCUCG
rnacentral:sRNA from 1 species